AACAACAUUGUUUGAACUGCAAGGAAAGUAUCAAAGUUGUUGAUACAGGUUUAGGACGUACUAUAUGGAGCACACAAAUCAUGAUGUAGUCCCUAAGUCCACAGCAAAGAUGUAGGUACCUACCAUGGAGAAUUACGUAUAGAGAAAGGUCACCACCAAGC